rnacentral:rRNA from 1 species
CAGGUCACUCCUACGGGAGGCAGCAGUGAGGAAUCUUGCGCAAUGGGGGAAACCCUGAUGCAGCGACGCCGCGUGAGCGAUGAAGCCCUUCGGGGUGUAAAGCUCUUUCGGCAGGGAAGAUAAUGACGGUACCCGAAGAAGAAGCUGCGGCUAACUACGUGCCAGCAGCCGCGGUAAUACGUAGGCAGCAAGCGUUGUUCGGAAUUACUGGGCGUAAAGAGUGUGUAGGCGGUGCUCCAAGUCUGGUGUGAAAUCUCCCGGCUUAACUGGGAGGGUGCGCCGGAAACUGGAAUGCUCGAGUAUGGGAGAGGUAAGCGGAAUUCCUGGUGUAGCGGUGAAAUGCGUAGAUAUCAGGAGGAACACCUGUGGUGUAGACAGCUUACUGGACCAUUUCUGACGCUGAGACACGAAAGCGUGGGUAGCAAACAGGAUUAGAUACCCUGGUAGUCCACGCCCUAAACGAUGCAUACUUGGUGUGAGCGAUUCAUUUCGUUCGUGCCGGAGCUAACGCGUUAAGUAUGCCGCCUGGGGAGUACGGUCGCAAGGCUGAAACUUAAAGGAAUUGACG